rnacentral:lncRNA from 1 species
UGAGGUCAUUUAAUAUCUUGUAGCAUUUUGCACAGACACAUUGAUAUCCAUUUGGAAGAACCCUGGAUCAAAUUAUACAACAUAGAUACAGCCAUGUAAGGGCAGGCUUUAGAAAACAAAAGUGACUCCAGUUUUAAGUCAGUUUAGAGCUGGAGAGUGAAAAUUUGAAAGAAAUCCAAAAGAAAUUCAAACUGAAAAAAUAUUUUAUUUUAAACAUUUGAAUGUGCUGACAUCCUUUAUGAGUCUUUGAAGGAACAAGUGAAAAUGGCUCACCAAACGAUGAGAUUUUUGUUGCUCUACUUCAUUCUAAAAGUAACUGCCAUAAAGCUCUUGUCUCCUCCCGGGUGGAUGAUUAAAAUGCCAUGUCAAUAUGAAUAUGAGGCUCAAGGAAGUAUCCAGCAGUUGUCCCUACAGUGGAGAAGCCCCAGGAACCAGCUGCUCUGUCACCUGAUCAAGCACAAAACGUACAGCAACUGCACAGCUGGAUAUUCAGUGCACUACAGCCCAGGGAAUAUUACUCUCAUCAUCGCUGAGGUGAAGCAGGAGGAUUUUGGGAGGCAUGUGUGUUCUGUGAGCAAGCUUCAUGAAUUCUCAGACUUCAGCAUCGACUUAAACCAGAAGGAAGGUGAGGAAUGUGCAUUAAAUUUAGAUUCACAUGAAUGCAUUUUUGAAUAGUGAUGCAACAGUUAUGAAUGCAUGAACUGUAUCAAGUUCUGUAGCCUAUAGCUCACAGUGUGAAAUCUUGUAAUAUGUUUAGAUCUCUCUACUGAAUUACCAAAAGGCAAGGUAGAUCAGUCAGGUACAGUAUGUAAUUGUGUUCAGUUAAUUGAGAAUUUAAAAUUAAAGACCACUGAUAAAGUUUCAUGGGUACAGUUGUUGAGAUGAUAUUAGUUUAUUCAUUGGGUGCCUAAAUCUUACCCACAGGUUCUGCAAAGGAUCAUUUCUUCCUUCUUGGCUGCAGUCUUUUUGUGUCCAUUUUUGGGUAAUAAAACAAGAAUUAUGUUCAUCAUCACUUUUUUCACACUGAGAUAGGGGAUGUCUGGGACUUAUACAGAAUAAAAAGUCAGUGUUUUAUAAUUGGGUUUUUUUGUUUGUUUGUUUUUUUAUUAAAGUACCACUGGAUGGCAGUAUACUCAAAAAUAUCACAAUACACCAUUUUUAAGCUAUAAAGUCUACAAUACUUGAUGGUUAAUGUUUAAAUAAC